rnacentral:lncRNA from 1 species
GUGGGUAGGGGGUCCUGGGGAAGCUGAAGUCCAGGACUGCAGGUGUACUGGUCCCCAGAGAAGGCCCGCCAAGCAGCACGGCCCCGCCGGACUGGUCACAGGAGGGUUCAGUGUGGUUUGCAGUAUAGGCUGUUUGACCUUCUGGAUCCAUGUCAUCAUAUACCCUCCUGUGGUUGUUUGAUGUGCAGUCCGACGGAGUAUGCCAACCAGCAGAGCCCAAACAGGAACCAGCACUACCUGCAGAGGAACAGCAGAGGGGGGGAGAAAGAAAAGCAGUGUUAGGGGGUGUGUGGACCCGGGCCACCACCAACCUGCGCCGGGUGCCACCCGGGAUGUUCAUAGAGCAGAUUGAAUGUCUGGAGAAAGAGAAAGCAGCUCUGUCUCAGGAGAAGAGAGAGACGGAUGAGUUCUUGUCUCUUGAGAUCAAGUUCAUGAAAGAGUAUGAGAAUGAGUUGCAAAAUGAGAUCACCGACUUGAAAAAGACCAUCGAAGGCUCUGAGCUUCAAUGCCGAGAGCUUCAGAACAAGCUAGAAAAGCUGACUGAUGAACUGAAGAAGAAAACUGAAUUUGCAGAGGACCUUCAGAGUAUGGUAUGUGUCUUUUUAAUUGUUAGUGUUGGGCGUUAUGAUGAUGUAUACUGUUUAAUGGUAGAAAUGUUUCCACCUG